AGCUCCAGAGUAUGGAUUAGGAAGCGAGGUAUCAACAAGUGGAGAUGUUUAUAGCUAUGGAAUCCUAUUAUUGGAAAUGGUGACAGGAAAAAAACCAACUGAUGAUAUUUUUGUGGAAGGUCUUAACCUUCACAACUUUGCGAAAAUGGCAUUGCCCAACCAAAUGUUGGAGACCAUAGACUCAAUUCUUUUACAAGAAGAUGGAGGAGUGAUUAACAGUCAAGGUCCAGCACUACCAAGAAAUGACAGCAAAAUUGAAUGCAUAAUUGACAUCAUCAAGGUUGGGAUAGCAUGUUCCAUGGAGUCUCCUCAAGAUAGAAUGGACAUCAGCAAUGCAGUAAAUGAGUUAAAUUCCAUCAGAAACAAUUUUAUCCCAAGUACAAUGGGACUUUCUGUAUAUAGAGGACUACGAAGUUGAAGCUUCAAGUCGAUCAAAGAAGCUAAAAAAGCCCAACUUAUGUGGGUAAAGGAGUUUAAAAUUUUUAAAGAAAUUUAAUAACAUUAAGGGGGAAAACAACUGAUAGUGAUCAUGUGCUCUGUUUUGCAGUUGUAUGAUGAAAACAAAUGCUUUGGGCUGCAAUUUCUUCAAUAUUAAUCGAAAAUGGUUGUGGAAAACUGUUGCUUUAUAAUUAGCGCGGAGGCUCUUCAACUUGGAUGAGUAGUGUUGGGUUGUUACAUUUGAUUAAAAUAAAAUGAAGUGUGAGCUAUGUUAAAUAUUGUAAAUUAUGUUCUUCAUGUAUAAUUAAUUGGAGUAUUUAACUACUCUUUUUUCUUCUUA
rnacentral:misc_RNA from 1 species